rnacentral:lncRNA from 1 species
CCAUCCCGGAACAGGGACCGCUCCGAUUCUGCCAUCACCUCGCCACAGAAAAGUUCUUUACUCCUUUUGCCUUCAGAUUUCUCCCAGGGACUAGAACUUGGCCUCUGGAUUACAGGGAGGGUGGAAGUCAUGUCCUUCCCUACACAGAGAGAAAGCGGACCCACGGAGUGGGGUCUGGAGGAAGUCCCUCCCCUUAAUUGAUUUUCUGUAGUGCGGAAUCCGCAGUGCAGAUUUGAAUUUUGCUUUUCAGUAGCCUGCGUUUGCCAGGAGGGUGCAGCCAGGACGAAGAAGCUCGAGUUGGAGACGAGACUGACGGUUGGGGUCACAGCAAGUUGCCUGAUGAAAUGCUGGAGCUCAGUUCAUUCUGCCUCACCCCUGGCUAAGAGAAAGCAGCAGGCACCAGCGGGGCAGUCGCGUUUCAGGUGAUGCGUACCUGAGGAAGUCUCUACCCUCUCCCGACCCUGAGAUAAGCUGUGUGGAAGCUCUCCACGGAGGACCAGAAGCAAAGAAUGCUCAAUACACCUCCUUCGUCUGUCCCCAUAGUACACCAGAGAUGGCCAAAAUGCUCCUGGCUGAGAUGACAGCAAUAAGCUGGGGGCUCAAUGAUCCUGAGCUUCUGAGGUCUUUAUUGGCGUUCUGAAAUAGCCUGAAACAUACCCAACUGAUGUUUAAUCUAUCUGUCCACUUGAAGAGAUCUAGAAUCCCUUGGGAGACAGGCUCUGGGCAUGUCUAUGGGGGAUUAUCUGGACUAAGGUGAGAAGACCUGCCCACUAUGGGUGGCACCGUGCCAUAGGCUUGAGGCCACUCAUCACUCUUCCUGAUUAUGACCCAAAGCUUCAAGACCCUGCUGCUUUGACUUCCCCACUGUGAUGGACUGUACCUGGGACUAUGAGCCAAAAUAAACCCUUUAAGUUGAGAGUAUUUCAUCACAGCAAGGAGAAAAGAAACUAUGACACCUGAUGAGCCAGAACUUCCUCCAGAAAGGUCAACCAAUGCUAAUAAACUCCAGACCAUUGGGGCUCACCAGCUUGUAAAGUAACCUAUUCUAAUGUCAGCUCUGUUGGUCAAUGAGAUCUAAUUCAAAGGGAGAAUUUCCCUUUGAUCCAAGCAACAGUUUGAUUCAGAAUGAGCUGGUCUGAUAUCUGCCUAAAAGGCUGGACCUCUUUCCCACCUCAAUGGAUGGGUCAAGCUACUCCUGUAGGAUGCCUCAUUUAGUUCAUCCCCCAUCUUUUACCACCUUAUGGGAUCCAAGCAUCCUACCAGCUAGGAUGGUCUUUGACUAUUAGAUGCCUACAGGUCCACAAACUCCAGGGACUCUCUGGACAGAUCCUGCAGCGGUUUUAAAGGUAC